ACCAGUGUGGUGUAGUGGUCUGAUUGUUGGAUUUUGAUUCUGCAGACCAGGGUUCAAUUCCCUGCUCAGCCA